GAAGGUUUAACUAAAGAAUAUUCCAUUGAUUUGUGUAAUCUCAUUGAGCCACACAACACAUCUGGAGAGAGAGAGGAAGAUAUGGUAAUAGGAGUUAUAACAUGCCUCUUCUUGCUGAUGUGUAAAGGAUUAGAAGAGAGAUCUGAAUGUAAAUCAUUGGAAGGAGAUGAAGAGAAAUUCAUUUUUUUUUUAAAAAUUAAUAGGGAUUUUAUUGCUAUAAUAUCAAAUUAUUACAAGAUAGACCAACCCACCAAAAUUUAGUUAAUACAUUGGACCCAAUACAAUUAAAGUAAAAUGAAACCCGACCCAAUACUUCAAUAUUCAGACAUAUAUAAAUGUCCUUAGGGUUUCCAAAAUGCAUUUUGUUGUCUUCUCCACUAUUGGAGCUUCCUUCAGGUGAAUAACCAUGGUGUCAACGACCUUCAAUCCUCUAUUCAUGGUGCUAGUCCUCUGAAUCAUUAACUCCUUGCCUAAGCUCUAGAAUAUUCCUACUUUAUAUAGCUCCCUAAAUUCGAGUCCAGAGGAAUAUGUGAUAUUAUGAUGAUACCCGGUUCUAGUCUGGAGGAAUGUGUGAUAUUAUGAUGAUGCCCGAUUUGAGUCAGGAGGAAUGUGUGAUAUUAUGAUGAUGCCCGAUGAAUUCAGAGGAAUAUGUGAUAUUAUGUGAUGCCCAAUUCGAGUCCAGAGGAAUGUGUGAUAUUAUGAUGAUGCCCGAUGAAUUCGGAGGAAUAUGUUGAUAUUUUGAUGAUGCCCGGUGAAUUCGGAAGAGGUAAGAACAUUAUGAUGCCGUGUGGGGCAAAUUUACUUAUAUUCAUUGAUAUUUGUAAGGUUAGGCCGUGUGGGUCCAACCGCCUAUGUGCUUGAAUUAUGAGGUCUCUCUUGGUAAAUUGUUAUUGUUUUGCGGAAA